GAUGAACGCUGGCGGCGUGCCUAAUACAUGCAAGUCGAGCGAACAGACGAGGAGCUUGCUCCUCUGACGUUAGCGGCGGACGGGUGAGUAACACGUGGAUAACCUACCUAUAAGACUGGGAUAACUUCGGGAAACCGGAGCUAAUACCGGAUAAUAUAUUGAACCGCAUGGUUCAAUAGUGAAAGACGGUUUUGCUGUCACUUAUAGAUGGAUCCGCGCCGCAUUAGCUAGUUGGUAAGGUAACGGCUUACCAAGGCAACGAUGCGUAGCCGACCUGAGAGGGUGAUCGGCCACACUGGAACUGAGACACGGUCCAGACUCCUACGGGAGGCAGCAGUAGGGAAUCUUCCGCAAUGGGCGAAAGCCUGACGGAGCAACGCCGCGUGAAUGAUGAAGGUCUUCGGAUUGUAAAACUCUGUUAUUAGGGAAGAACAAAUGCGUAAGUAACUAUGCACGUCUUGACGGUACCUAAUCAGAAAGCCACGGCUAACUACGUG
rnacentral:rRNA from 1 species